GCGGAGCGGGCAGGGCAGGGCCGGGCGAGGCCGCGCCGUGCUGCGGCAUGGAAGGGACGCGGACCCCCCCCCGGUACGGAUCGCUCGAGUCCACCCGCUGGCCGGAGCCAGAGGAUGAAAUUGUUUCCAUGGCCGACUCCACCACCACCAUCGAUGACAUCGAAGGGGAGCUCUUCAAAAUCGAGAGGAUCAGGGAGAUCCUGGUGAGGAGGGAGUCGGAGCUGCGAUACAUGAUGGAUGACAUUCAGCUUUGCAAAGAAAUCAGCCGGCUGAAAAAGGAGCUUCAAAAACUGAUAGCCCUUCCAGAGACCGAGAAGUCCAACGAGGAGAAGCAGAGGGAGGAGGAGCUGGUGCAACAGAUACACAAGCUGGUGGAAACUCGGGAUUUUCUGGUGGAUGAUGUGGAGUUUGAGAGGCUCAGGGAGAGAGAAGAAGACAAGGAAAUGGCAGAAUUCCUGCAAAGUAAGCUCUCCAAAAGCUACCUCCAGAAAGCAAGUAGGUGGCUGAUGAGUUUUAUUCCUCCCAUUGAACCUCCCUGCCAGUUUCUCCCUUCGCUAAGCACUUCGUUCACAAGAUUUCACUGCUCUUUGUGGGGCGAGCUUACCUGGAGGCUGUCUGUUGCUGGAGGAGGGUGUGGGGAAAUGGCAACUUUGGGGUGCUGGUGUUUGAGAUCAUAUUGUGGAAACAUCACAAAUCAGUAGAGAUGCUGUGCUUCCAUGUACCCUCCUGGCACUUCUCAGCCAUCACGUCCUAUGAGAACUGGGACAAGUGGGUGUGCUUUCAUGGUUCAUGUACUUCAUCUGACCUUUUCUAGCCAUCCCCUUCCACUUCAUCACACAGUUAGCUGAGGUCACAAGUCACGGUAUCCAUCCAGCCGUCCUCUCUUCAUGGCCUCUGGUGGCAGGCCACCCUUCCCUGUGCCUCCAUCACUGCUGGAGGAACACCUCCCCAGCGUGGUGGGCAUCUCCUGCCUGGGGUCCCAGUGCCUCUGCGUGAGGAGGGGCAGCACCACAGCCCUGAGAGGAGCUCUCAGAAGAAGCAGUGGGCCUGUGCCCUUGUCAGCAAGCAGACACCAACCCUAAAGGUAACAAUGCUUCUCUCCAUAGCUCCUGUCAAAGAGAAAAAAAUGACUUCCAGGGGGCAGCAAACCUCCGCCCCGUAUAUGACCAAGACAGGCCUCACGCUGCUCAAGGAGUGCUGUGGCUUCACCUGCUCCAUCAUGUAGCCAGUCCCCAGCUCCUCUGCACAGGACAUGACCGUGGUAGUGUCUCCAGCCAGAGUCCACUAUCUGCUGUCCUCUGAGAGUUUCAACCUCCCGUCAUUAUUCAUGCUUCCCACUGCAGCACUGCCACUGAAGAGACUUUCCAAGUGGGCUGGUGCAAGCUUGAAUGAUGGCAUGUCUCCUUGGUGGCACGUCAAUGGUCGUCUCCUCCAUGACAUCAACAAACACUGAAUCCCACCUGAGCUCAGCUUGGCAGAGGUGUGUGCAGCAGUGAGCCCACAACAAAGAGGUUCUGCACCUGCCGGAGUAAUAAAACAAGCACUCGGAGCUAACCUUUGGAGGACAUUGUGCUCCACCAUCCAAGACACGCUGUUGCCACAGAUCUCAUCCUUGGCCUUGUACCAACUUGUGAGUCUCUGUGGGAUGGUUCCUAAGGACUCUUUGUGGGGAAUGUCUCUGGUCUGGGGUUUGUUGCGUUUGCCUUGAUGUUAUUGCCAAGUCCCCUGUGGCUCUGGGUAGAUCUGUGGGAAGUGGGAAGUGCAGUCCCCUGAGCCGGCUGAAUGAAGGGCUAAUUCUU